rnacentral:rRNA from 1 species
CAACCUCAGUUCGGAUUGAAGGCUGAAAUUCGCCUUCAUGAAGCCGGAAUUGCUAGUAAUGGCAGGUCAGCAUACUGCCGUGAAUACGUUCCCGGGCCUUGUACACACCGCCCGUCACACCAUGAGAGUUGGGAAUACCCGAAGCCUGUGAGCUAACUUUUAGAGGCAGCAGUCGAAGGUAGAAUCAAUGAUUGGGGUGAAGUCGUAACAAGGUAGC